rnacentral:rRNA from 1 species
UACGUAGGCAGCGAGCGUUGUUCGGAGUUACUGGGCGUAAAGGGUGUGUAGGCGGUUCUUUAAGUUUGGUGUGAAAUCCCUCAGCUUAACUGGGGAACUGCGUCUGAUACUGGAUGGCUUGAGUUUGGGAGAGGGAUGCGGAAUUCCAGGUGUAGCGGUGAAAUGCGUAGAUAUCAGGAGGAACACCUGCGGUGUAGACGGCUUACUGGACCAUAACUGACGCUGAGGCACGAAAGCGUGGGUAGCAAACAGG